AACGAACGCUGGCGGCAUGCCUAACACAUGCAAGUCGAACGAGACCUUCGGGCCUAGUUGCGCACGUCUACGUACCGCGUGGUAACCUGCCCUUAGGUUCGGUAUCACUCCCCGAAAGGGGUGCUAAUACCGGUUAAUGUCUUCGCACCAAAGAUUUAUCGCCUUUGGAUGGGCCCGCGUUGGAUUCGCUGGUUGGUAGGGUAAAAGCCUGCCAAGGCGACGAUCCAUAGCUGGUCUGAGAGGAGGAUCAGCAACACUGGGACUGAGACACGGCCCAGACUCGUACGGGAGGGAGCAGAGGGGAAUAUUGGACAAGGGGCGAAAGCCUGAUCCAGCAAUGCCGGGUGAGUGAUGAAGGGCUUAGGGUUGUAAAGCUCUUUUAGCCGGGAUGAUAAUGACAGUACCGGGAGAAUAAGCUCCGGCUAACUCCGUG
rnacentral:rRNA from 1 species